rnacentral:lncRNA from 1 species
CUCUUCUCCCCCAGCUCUGAGUUGUGCUUGUUCUGUAUCCCCCCUCCCAGCCCUGGGUUUUCCAUCCUUUGUCCCCCUGGGAGCCAUUUGCCCCUCUCUGGGUGCUAUUUGUCCCCCUUCCAGCCUUGUUUUGGACCCGUGUCACUGUCUCUCUGCCACAGCUCUGGGGUCUGGGCGGUUGGGGACCGUUUGGUUCAAACCCGGUUCUGAGCCGUUGAGGCACCGGCUGCCCCCAUGGAUGCCCUGAUGGCCCCCCGGCCCCCCCGCCGUCCCUCCCUGCUCCACCUCCUCAGGAGCUUCUUCGGGCAUCUGCGAAACGUGCGAGGGGAGCCCAGGGUGGAGGAGCAAGAGCUGGGCGCCCUUGGGGAUGGCGGCGGCCAUGAUGGGGACCUGGCAGGCCAGCAGCCGCCAUACUGGGAGCCCUGGGAGGGUGAGGAGGGGGAGAGCACGGAGCCGCUGCUGGGGGAGCUGGGGGGGCUCAGCCUCGCCGGCUCCCUGGGGAGCAGCACCAGCAGGAGCUGCCUGACGUGGAGCACCAGCGACACGGAGCUGGCGUGUGACGUGGGGGACACGCCAGCCGGUAGCCCAGCCCUGCCACACGCAGGCCACGGGCUGGCCAGCCAGGAGGGGACGGCCAUGCCAGAAGCUUUUUGUGACAAAGCUCUGGAGACGGAUGAGUUUCUCCAAGGUCUGGGUGCUGGUGGUGAUGUUACCUGCAGUGCAAGCCCUGAGCCAAUGUUUUUUGUGGACUUCGAUGCUGAAUGUGAGAAAGAGCGGCUCCUGAAAGAUGACAGGGCAGGAUCCCCCACAGCAGAGCUGUCCCAGGGGAACAUGCUCUUCAACACAACCAGACAUCGAUGGACUUCACAUGAGCCUCAGGCCCCAGGAAGCUCGAAGGAGCUGGAAGGCGAAGAGGAGCCGCUUUUGAAUGCGGCGGGGAAUAGACCUGCAACUCCGGUCCUGCUCCCCCCGGCUCCAGACCCCUCGGACGCGGUCCCGGCGGGGAGAAGAGAGAGCAGGAGAAGCCCGUGGCUGCUUUGGGAGAAGCUGGGUACUGCUGGGAGCAGGUGGAGGAGGAACCCCUGGAAAAGCCUGAGAUCCAGUGAGAGGUGGGGAGCAGCCCCCGAUGGACCACCCUACAUCGGCAGCCCCCCUGGAGGAGAGUGUGACCCUGGCCCUUCUUUUCUGCCCCCCACCCUGGUACCCGCCACUCUUAGCCCUGUCCUAAAGAGGUCCUCAGCUCCAGCUUUUUCCUCUUCUUUCCCUGACAUUUCCCUUUAGUGAACAUAACAUGUUUCCAGUUUUCCUUUCUCCUUUCCUGUUGCUCAGGAAGGACCCAUGAGUCUCACUCCCCUGGCUGGCACAGCCUGGCUUUGCUUUGAAUUAUUUAUAUAUAUUUUUUUUUUCAGAUUAAGCAUUUAGUGUGAAUAAAUUGUUCUCACUUCUCCCUCUGAUUAUUCA